UCCAGCAUGGCACAGUGGUUUGAGCAUUGGACUAUGACUCCAGAGACCAGGGUUCAAAUCCCCGCUCUGGCA